AUGUGGCUCUGUGGAUCACCCUCUGUUCCUGGAUGUUCUCUCCUCUCUGGCUUUUUGUGGUACUGCUCCUUCGCCCAUCCUCCUUCCUUCUUAGCCUGUUUUGCAGAUUCUUCCUCCAUGUUAUAUUCACUGACUGGAGAACAGAACCUAAGAAAGGAGUGUUUGCUAUGGAGAGGAACCAAAGCCCAGAAUUCUGCCACUUCUCCUUUUGCUUGCAGACAUCCAAGGCCAGCACAGCCUUCAGAGUGGGUAGCAUGGAGGAAGAGGGGGGAGAUGCCAGCUGCCAGGCAGAAGCUUGAUGCUUCAGUGACUCUUGCUUUUGGCCAGAAGUCACACUAACCUGCCAUCACUUCUUCCUCCUUGUAGUCACAAUAUGAAAAGGAACCUACUUUAGCACUGUUGAUGGGCAGAGCCAGGGGAAGACAAAGACACAUUCAAGGAGCUGCCCUCAUCUAGAUCUUCUAUAGCCAAACCUCCUUCCUCUUCUCAUACUCCUGUAGGACACCUUAUCCCAAGUGACCCUUCCCUCCUCCGGCUUGGAGUUGGGCUCAAAUGCAUAUAGCAGGAAGUCAGACUAGGACUUUAGAGCACUAAAUUGUUUCCCCAUGACAGCCUUCUCUUCUGUUUUGUUUUCUUUUUUUAAUGCAAAGCUGCAUAUGAAUAGACUGAACCAAAAAUUAUGGAAGCCAACAAAAGUGGUUGUCACAGAGCAGACACUCAAGAAUGCUAUGAAUGAAUGAGUAGAUAAAGAAGGAAACUCCAGGUCUGUGGAGAAGUGUUAGGAAAUUCAUUCAGAGGUCAACACUCUCUUGAAAAGGGUUAAGGGGAGAGCAUCAACAAAGGAUACAUUGCAGCCGUCAUGGACGUGGAAUUUAUAGAUUGUCACAGAACCUGCUCCCCAUCUCCCAUCUGGUAGGGCAAAGUCUUCAGUGUCUCACUGAUGGGGAAAUCCUAACCAGAGUGACUCAGAGGGCUCUUGUCUUCCUAGGCCUCCGAUGACAGACAGAAAGAGGGUUGCUGAAACAGUAAGAGUUGCAUUGGCAGACUUCCCUCACUGCAGUCAGAGUAGCUAAAGAUAGGCAAUGACCUUCUAGCAACAGCUUUGCUUCCAGGGACAGAGGCAGCCCUCCAGGAAGAAGACCAUGAUCCAGAGGCCAAAAAAGAAAGGAACAUGUUCUCCUCUUUUGACAAAAACCUAGCUCCUUGGGUUCUUUCAGCUAGCCCUGGAUGAGAAUAAAAAAUUUCCAUCUGGGGACA
rnacentral:lncRNA from 1 species